CCCCAGGGGCUGGGGCAGCCCCCUCCGGCUCCUUACCGAGCUCAGGGCCACUGGGGACCGGCUGCGGGCUCCGGGAGCGCCCGGGGAGGCGGCGCUGGUGCUCCCCGAGAGGUUUUUAUCCUCCCCCCGUCCCUCCCUGCUCCCCGCCCCCGGCCGGCACCUCCUGCCCCUCCGUUGCCCUGCCCCGGGGGGGAAAAAGGGUCGCGGGAGUAAAUCGGGAGAGGUUUUUGGGGAGCCUCCUCACCGCAAGAGUCCCGACCUCCGGGCUGGCAGCUUUGCGUCCUAGUGGAGGGGAAGAAAGCACGGAACAAAGGUGGAAAGCAGAGGAGGAAAAGCAGAGGAUGAGUAGAAAUACCAACAGCAAAUUAUUGCAUUUCCAACCCUUCCCAAUCUUGCUUGAACUCAGGCACAGCCAAACAGCGUGGGUGUACCAGGAAGGACACAACCUCUGGAUCCUGAUAUCCCACCCCCUGCCCCUUGCACACUCGCUCAGUGCUUUGGGGUCGCUGCAGCAGUCGCAUGGAGGGGUCGCCCUCGAUGUCAGCCACGAGUAUUGGCUUUAGCAUCUCCUACGUGCACCCUGACAUCUGGCAGCAGAGAGGAAAAUCAGGAGAACUUGUUCAUGUAUUCUGAGGAUUCUGAUUUAGCUGCCUAUGGCUGAGAAGAGCAGGAGCCCAACCUUCCAAGAGCAUGCCAUGUCCUUCCCCUGGUUUUUGUGUGAAGGGGGAUCUGGCUCAUUUCUCCAGCAAGCUUACGAGUGACCAGACAACAGAUAAAACAUGAAGGGGGUUGCACCCCUCAUUCUCAGAAGGAAUAGAGAUGGGGGACAGCUGACAACCGACUCUUCAUUUACUCCAGGGGUCCCAUCACUGAUGCUUGAGUCCUAACGUGGAGGAGCUCUCCUCAAAGAGGCAGGCAGGGACGGGGUGCAGAGACUGCUGUCAGGCACCAGGGCUGCUUUGGCAGCAGGUCAGGCCCAGGAGAUGGUGUCAGUUCUUGAAGCCACCGUCAGGCACCUCUGCUUGUGAGCAAUUGUUCCCUGCGUUGUUUAUUUAUGGCUGUGGGAGGUGACUCUUGGUCUUGGAAAGCUGGAAUUUCCUGCCCUGUGUAUUUUUUAAUCCCUUAGCUGCUCCUGAGAGAUUGGAGCUAUUCCUAGAAGACAGGGGAAUGAAAACCUUUCCCUUCCAACCGUAGCUUUUUCUGAAAGAGAUAAGCUGCUAGGUUUGUUUUCCCAUUCAGGACUGGUUUAUCAAUAAACCUGAGAGCCACUUUAUUGUGUCGGCAAACCUCCCAGCGGAUAUCAGCUCUCCUGUUGUGUUUGCACGACACCUGGCACAGCACGGCUUUGAUCUCAGCUGCAACACUAAUGUGCAGGUGCCGCUACCCAAGAACUUUGUAAUUCCCCUCCCCAGCUUUCAGGAUUCCUAUUUGAAAAUGUACUUAAUGCUGCUUUUGUGGGAGGAAAUUAUGUAGGGGAAUUUCUGAAAAUGAAAUAUUAGUUAACAGCUGGAUUUUGAUAUUGAUGCAUCUUGUCUAUAUUAUUAAAAUACGUACAUGUACAGAAACUUAUAAAUACAUGAUUGCAAAUGGUAA